CUAUCGGAAUGAUACUAAGCCAUGCGAGUCAUUGUAGCAAUACAAGGCAGACGGCUCAGUAACGCGUAGUCAAUCUACCCUAUGGACGGGAAUAACCUUGGGAAACUGAGAAUAAUGCCCGACAGAACAUUAUACCUGGAACGGUUUAUGUUUCAAAUGAUUUAUCGCCGUAGGAUGGGACUGCGGCCUAUCAGUUUGUUGGUGAGGUAAUGGCCCACCAAGACUAUUACAGGUACGGGCUCUGAGAGGAGUAGCCCGGAGAUGGGUACUGAGACACGGACCCAGGCCCUAUGGGGCGCAGCAGGCGAGAAAACUUUGCAAUGUGCGAAAGCACGACAAGGUUAAUCCGAGUGGUUUCUGCUAAAGAAACCUUUUGCUAGUCCUAGAAACACUAGUGAAUAAGGGGUGGGCAAGUUCUGGUGUCAGCCGCCGCGGUAAAACCAGCACCUCAAGUGGUCAGGAUGAUUAUUGGGCCUAAAGCAUCCGUAGCUCGUUUUGUAAGUUUUCGGUUAAAUCCAUACGCUCAACGUAUGGGCUGCCGGGAAUACUGCAUAACUAGGAAGUGGGAGAGGUAGACGGUACUCGGUAGGAAGGGGUAAAAUCCUUUGAUCUAUUGAUGACCACCUGUGGCGAGGGCGGUC
rnacentral:rRNA from 1 species